CCUACGGGGGGCAGCAGUGAGGAAUAUUGGUCAAUGGGCGCGAGCCUGAACCAGCCAAGUAGCGUGAAGGAUGACUGCCCUACGGGUUGUAAACUUCUUUUAUAAGGGAAUAAAGUGAGGCACGUAUGCCUUUUUGUAUGUCCUUUAUGAAUAAGGAUCGGCUAACUCCGUGCCAGCAGACGCGGUAAUACGGAGGAUACGAGCGUUAUCCGGAUUUAUUGGGUUUAAAGGGAGCGUAGAUGGGUUGUUAAGUCAGUUGUGAAAGUUUGCGGCUCAACCGUAAAAUUGCAAUUGAUACUGGCAGUCUUGAGUACAGUUGAGGUAGGCGGAAUUCGUUGUGUAGCGGUGAAAUGCUUAGAUAUAACGAAGAACUCCGAUUGCGAAGGCAGCUUACUAAACUGCCACUGACAUUGAUGCUCGAAAGUGUGGGUAUCAAACAGGAUUAGAUACCCGAGUAGUC
rnacentral:rRNA from 1 species